AACGAACGCUGGCGGCAGGCCUAACACAUGCAAGUCGAGCGGACCCUUCGGGGUUAGCGGCGGACGGGUGAGUAACGCGUGGGAAUAUGCCCUUCUCUACGGAAUAGUCCUGGGAAACUGGGGGUAAUACCGUAUACGCCCUUUGGGGGAAAGAUUUAUCGGGGAAGGAUUAGCCCGCGUUGGAUUAGGUAGUUGGUGGGGUAAUGGCCUACCAAGCCGACGAUCCAUAGCUGGUUUGAGAGGAUGAUCAGCCACACUGGGACUGAGACACGGCCCAGACUCCUACGGGAGGCAGCAGUGGGGAAUCUUAGACAAUGGGGGCAAGCCUGAUCUAGCCAUGCCGCGUGAGUGAUGAAGGCCUUAGGGUUGUAAAGCUCUUUCAGCUGGGAAGAUAAUGACGGUACCAGCAGAAGAAGCCCCGGCUAACUCCGUG
rnacentral:rRNA from 1 species